UGGCAACAAUGAUAUCCUUGUUAAAAUACAGAAAACCUGGAACAAAAUCCAGACAUUGUCCUUCCAGAAUGACUUUAACACUGAAGUAAGGAAGAAUGCCAUCUGACAGACUCCUGUUUUCAAAAUAAUGAACAGUUUGGAGAAAGAUUAAUGAAGGCUGAAGCAAUGUUGUAAACUUUCCCCAUUUUUUAAGGCUCCAUUUUCAUAAAGGAAUGUUAAACAGACUGCCCUCCGACUCCCAGUUUGGUCUGGACAAGCUGCAGCAGUUUCAGGAGAUCAGCGGGUGGGAGGAGCGAGAGGUCAGGGGUUACUCCCACACCCCUGCCCAUCCCCUUCUUGCUUGGCCCUGGUUUGGGCAGCCUCUCUCUCACAGCCAUGAGCCUGAUAAGGUUCUGACAAGCACUCAGUAAAACAUUGAAGGCAUGAAUGCAGAAAUGAAUGACUUAUCGAAUGCCAGUGUUGCUCAGUCCCUCUUUGAAACACCAAUAUCUGAGCAAACCCAAGCUGGCACUUUGGACUUGGUGGAGUGAUAUCAGUUUUGCCCAGGAGAAAAGCAACUCAAGCUGCCAUGUUGUGAAAAAGCCCAAGAAGCCAUGAGGACAGGCUUCGGGAGGAGAGGAAUGAGGCUUCUGGCCGACAGCCUUAGUUGAGAUCCCAGCUUACAGCCAGCACUAACUUGACAGCCUUGCAAGUGAGUCAUCUUGGAAGUGGACUGUCCAUCCACAGUGGAGCUGCCCCAGCUGAGGCUAUAUGGAGCAGAGACAAACUGUCCCCAAUGAAUCCUGACCAAAUUACAGAAUUUUGAGCAAAUAAGUGAUUGCUGUUAAGUUGCGUUGUUUCUGGGAGGCUAAUCUGUGGCAGUAGAUAACUGAUAAUACAAUCAUUCUCAUUCCUGACUGUAAAUACAUCAUCAAAAGAAAUUGACAGCAAAUCAACUCAAUGCUCUGUUGAUGCUUGACAAAUGUAAAUCUCUCCCACCAAAGGUAUAAUUAGAUCUUGAGAACAAGCAGGAGCUCAAGUGUUAGGUGAGGAUCAAUUGGCACUUUUCCAGUGGGAGCAAUAGUGUCAUCUCCUCCUUCCCCUCCUUCCUUUUCCCUUUUCUGACACGUAUUCAUGGGCCACUGACAGUUAACAAGACACACAGAGUUCCUGCACUGAUAGGGCAUGUUUAUCCUCCAACCACUUCAAUUCUUUCUUAGGAUGUCAUCACCUUUGAUGGAUUGAAGUCUGAUUUACUUUCUCAAAACCCCUUACACAGUAUUAAAUUGUUGAGAAAUGACCGAAAAAUGGCUGGGCAGCAAGAAAGAGUGUCAUUAGCCCAUUUUCAAAGACAAUGACUGACACAGAUGAGGAGAAUUGAGAUCUCACACAUGCUACAUUCAUAUUUACCAGAUGAUUCAUCCACACUUAUACUAACUGAGGGUGGAAAAGCUCUGUACUUCCCUCAGUGGGUGUCAUGUCUCUCAAUGGUCCUGUGACUCCAGACUUCCCUGUGGAAUGUUUCCUGGCACCUCCUGGCUGUAAGGCACAGUGCUUUUCCGUACUCAUCAAGUCUGUGAGGCCUCUCCAGAGACCACACAUGCCUUGCUGUGUGAGAGUGUAGGUGGAUUUUCAUAGCUGGGGCAGGCCUGAGCGGGGAAGCAGCUUUUGGCUCUAGCUGAAGAAGAAAAUAAAAUAGGUGGAGAUUCUAGGUUCCUCCUAUGCUUAGCCAACGAC